rnacentral:ncRNA from 1 species
UUUGCCGUCGGUGCCCUGUAAAAGGGGUCAAAAGGGAACACGGUGAGAAUCCGUGGCAGCCCCCGCUACUGUCAGUGCGUCGCAUCUUCAUAUACCAUUGAAGCUUUGAUGCUUUGAGAAGGGAAGAAUGCUUAAGGCACAAGUCAGGAAACCUGCCGAUGAGUCUU